rnacentral:tRNA from 1 species
UGGCUCAGACGGUAAAGCGUCUGUCUGCAAUGCAGGAGAUCCAGGUUCAAUCCCUGG